CACUGCAUGGUGUGUUGGGAAAGCCUUUGCGGCAUGGGAUGGGGUCGCGUCCUAUCAGCUUGAUGGCGGGGUAACGGCCCACCAUGGCUUCGACGGGUAGCCGGCCUGAGAGGGCGACCGGCCACAUUGGGACUGAGAUACGGCCCAGACUCCUACGGGAGGCAGCAGUGGGGAAUAUUGCACAAUGGGCGCAAGCCUGAUGCAGCGACGCCGCGUGAGGGAUGGAGGCCUUCGGGUUGUAAACCUCUUUUGUUAGGGAGCAAGGCAUUUUGUGUUGAGUGUACCUUUCGAAUAAGCACCGGCUAACUACGUGCCAGCAGCCGCGGUAAUACGUAGGGUGCAAGCGUUAUCCGGAAUUAUUGGGCGUAAAGGGCUCGUAGGCGGUUCGUCGCGUCCGGUGUGAAAGUCCAUCGCUUAACGGUGGAUCCGCGCCGGGUACGGGCGGGCUUGAGUGCGGUAGGGGAGACUGGAAUUCCCGGUGUAACGGUGGAAUGUGUAGAUAUCGGGAAAGAACACCA
rnacentral:rRNA from 1 species